UUCGCUUUGUUUCGCUUUAGUUCGGAAGGGCUCUGUUGUUUGUUUUGCCAGCUCUGCUGAGCACAGUCCCAGCGGUGCUGGUACUCUAGCAGCAUUUCCUACGCUGGCCAGUCCGUCAGGAGGCCGGACACGCCGCUCGAUUUGUGGAGGGAUAGUAACGUUAGCAGGUCGCCGCCCGAGAUGCUAAACCUCGAACGGGACGCGGGAGUUUCGAGUCCCUGUGUCGGGGGUAACUUUACGUGGAACCGGCGUCAACUCCUGACCAAUUUUUUUUUUAUUCCCAGUUCUUCGCUUCAGCCAGGGGGAAAACAAGGCUCGGGUCUGACUCAGGAUCCCAACCACACUCACUUCAAGAAAAAUCUGCUCAGCGUACCAUCCAAGCAACUGCAAGUGUGCCUGCUGGAUGAAUUUUCAACAGUGUGGGAGAUAUUCUUCAUGCACAGAGCCAAAUGCUGUGGGUGGUUUUUCUGCCCCUCUGGCUCAGCUCCAAAUAGCUGCACUUCCUCUCCAACGUAACCGCUUGCCUUCAGCUGGAGCUUAUGCUGGGGAGGCGGAGGUGGUUGGCUACAGUGUUCAGUGGAUGAGGAGGGACCAACCUGGAGAGAGAGAGUAUAUCUUCAGUGUUUGCAUGUAGGGGAAAGGUUUCCAUAGAGACUAGGCCAGCUAAUCCGACGAGCUGUGGAAGACGGAGAGAACAGGUCUGAAGUGCUCAGCAUUACGGCGGCUUCUAAAAGCUCCCUGCCUCUCAGCGCCUUAGUCUUCAUUACCUCCACAUCCCCUUUUGAUUGGCUGCAUUUAUCCUGAGUACCCCAGGUUUGGGAGGGAACUGUAACUCCAAACCAACCCCCCCCCCUCCCGACAGCACACCGCCAGCAUCGUAGUAGGUGUCAUACCCAACCCCUGAAGGCAAGAAUUUGGACUCAUAAACUCGAUAUUGUGUUAUUUUCUGUACCUGGUAGUUUCAAGACAAUACAGUGUUUUCCUCUGGCCCUGUUAUAGGCCGCUAGUUGUGGACAAACAGUACAAAGGAGUGACUACACUGUAUGGUUUGUGGGUGUUAAAGUGAUAUGUAAAAUGAAAUUUGCAUGUCCUUUGAUGU